UACGUAGGCAGCGAGCGUUUGUUCGGAGUUACUGGGCGUAAAGGGUGUGUAGGCGGUUGUUUAAGUUUGGUGUGAAAUCUCCCGGCUCAACUGGGAGGGUGCGCCGAAUACUGAAUGACUUGGAGUGCGGGAGAGGAGAGUGGAAUUCCUGGUGUAGCGGUGAAAAUGCGCAGAUAUCAGGAAGAACACCCCGUGGCGAAGGCGGCUCUCUGGGACGGUACUGACGCUGAGACGCGAAAAGCGUGGGGGAGCGAACAGG
rnacentral:rRNA from 1 species